GUCCCCGGCGUCCGGGCGCCCUGCAUGGAUCCCCCACCCCAGCUCCUGCUCCCCGGCGGCGGCCGGUGGGCAGAAAGACCGAAACCCACUCACGGCCGCCUGCCGAAUCGCGGCUCUGCUGUUUGUGGGGCGUGCUAGAAACGUGGUCCUAAAAAGAAUGGCGUCCAUUUACAUAAUGCUUUGUUUGCGUUUCGCAAGUUUCUUUCGGUUAAAGCCACAGAAACCCCACCUCCUGCCCUUGUGUCGUUUCCACCGCGGCACCCUUUUCCGACAUUAGAAACAAUAGUGUACGCCUGUGGAGGCCUCGUUUGUUCAGGGGCUGCCGGCCAGGGCUUCAGGACGUUUCUGCGGCUUUCCCCGCGCGGCCUGGGCUCCCGCGGCUGCUUUUCGGGCCCAUGGGCGCAGCCACUGCGCCAGGCUCAAGGGGGGCGGCCCCGUCAGGGCCCGCCAUCUUGGAAGGCCUUUUUUGCCGGUUCUUCCCGCUGAGGAAGUGUCGCUCAAGACGCUGGCCUAUGAGUUGUGAUUUCUGCCUUUUCCCCUUCCUCCUUGGGCUAAGCCAGACCAGAAAGGGCCCCGUGCGCAACGUGCUUCACAAUCUCUCAGGGAAAGCGGCUAACGUGGCGCUACUCCGCCUCCCCUGUUCCUUACCCUUGGGGCGGCCGCCAUGUUUCCUGAACACAAAAUGGCGACACGUGGUUAGCAUUCGUCGCCAACGAGAAAUUGGGGUCGGCCCGAAAGCUCUAGAAUGCACCCCUCUUCCUCCCCGGGGCCUUCCACCUCCGCGAGUUUUAUGACUUAAAAAAGCCCACAGGCUGGUCUGAAGGUCGGAGGCCUAAUUUUAACGCGUUUUCCUCCCUUUAAUUUGAAACGGGAACGCGAAUGACUGUAAAAUGUGGGCACAAUAUUUAAUCUCUCGCCUUUUUAAAGCUUAAUAGUGGAUAAUAGGGGGGCAGUAUCAAGGGAUAAUUUGGGUCCCCACAGUACCAAAGCAUUUAGAAACCUCUGUUUAAUUUAAGGAAUGAGAUAAGUUACUGCUUUUCUAGACUUCCUAGCAUGGGCUGUUGUGCUGGAGAGAACGAGAGCUACGAAGAGACUACAGUGCCUCUGACUUUUUCAUAGGACAGUUGGCCGAGGAAGACAAACAUAAAGAUGAAGUGCUUAAUUCAAGGUCACACAAUGUCGGGGAUGGACCUCCAGAUUUCCUUACUGACCUGCAUUAUCUUGUGGAUACCUGAGUGAAUUCCACACCACCCAUUUUAUAGAUGAAACCACUGAGACAUGGAGCAAUUGACUGAGUAGUCACUGCCCCACCCCUGCCUGGAGCCUCACACAUGACUCGCCUCCUCUCAGUGACCACAGGAAAACAAGCUCAGGGCUCCCACUGAUUGUACAUUAUGAGACGGAGUCUUGCUAUGUUGCCCAGGCUGGUCUUGAACUCCUCACCUCAAGCGAUCCUCCCGUCUUGGCCUCCCAAGUGUCAGGAUUACGGGCAUGUGCUAUCACACCCAACCUGAUACAUUGCCUUUAUAAAUUUUUUUUUCUUUAUUCUAAAAACCAGAAAAAACAAAACUGGAUACAUGUGCAGAACAUGCAGACCAAGUGUGUUGGGGACUUGAGAUGCGUACAUGAGUGUGAUGUUUCCUGCUGAAAGCACAGGUGAGACGUGGUCUUGUAACACAGUGGUUAAGAAUGUGACUUUGGAGCCAGCCUGCUAGGGGCUGAAUUCUGACUCAGCCAUUUACUAACUGUGUGACCUUAGUCUCACUGUUGCUCAGGCUGGAGUGCAAUGGCAUGAUCUCGGCUCAUCACAACCUCUGCUUCCUGGGUUCAAGCGAUUCUCCUGCCUCAGCCUCCCGAGUACCUGGGACUACAGGCACUCGCCACCAUGCCCGGCUGAUUUUUGUAUUUUUAAUAGAGAUGGUUUCACUAUGUUGGCCAGGCUGGUCUCGAACUCCUGACCUUGUGAUCUGCCCACCUCAGCCUCGAAAAGUGCUGGGAUUACAGGCGUGAGCCACUGCGCCCAGCCUUGUAUUUUUUUUCAGUUUGGGUAGCUGUCCCUAAUUCAUUUGUUAAAGGAGAAGCAAGAGCAAGAACCUUUAAUCUGUUCUCCUCUUCCCUAAUUUGAAAGUAGCUUGUUAUUUUGAAUAUCACUUUCUCUGAAAUAGCACAUCUCCAUCUCAGAGAAUGGAUUUAAUGUUUGGAUACAGCCAAAAGUCAUUUCAUUACCAAACCAUGGGGUGAAUAUACCAUGUAAAGCAGUUUGGGAUCAGAACUCACAGUCUGAAUUGUAAGUGAUGAGACUGCUGUCUCUCUGCUACAGCUUCUUGGCUGGCUCUGAAGGCUCUUUGAAGGCAGAUCCUAACAAGGGGACUGCUUUGAAGGGCCAUUGUUCAUUUGGAAUGAUAAAGUCUAUGUUGUUCAAAAAACAAAUGCUUGUAGCAGGUAUUUUUUCACUCCAGACUGAGAAUAUUGGUGGGAUAUUGAUAAGGGGUACUGAAUGGUAAUAAACAUGUGCUCUAGCUCUGUGCUAGUCAGCUUAUUUCAGAACUCUAGUUUGAUUCAGUUUCUUGCCUCUGACUCAAAAUGGAGGGAGAGUGAUUUUUACAUAAGAGAACACACCCACAUAUCCUUUUGGCAGCAGCUACCUGCCAGAGAUGUUGAAGAAGAGUAGCCAACCUUUACACAGCAGAUAUUGUGUGCCAGUCAUAGUCCUAAGUAUAAUACCUUACAUGUAUAAACUUCUUAUAAGGUUGGUGCUCUGUACCGAAUUGAAUAGUAUCCCCCAAAAUUCAUGUUGUCCCAGAACCUAUGAAAGUG
rnacentral:lncRNA from 1 species